UUGUUAACACAUAAAAAUGCAGCCCAAAUCGAACAGCCCAAGGAGUGAAGCCCAAUUGGAGGAUCCUCAAAUCAGAUAGUCCAAAUAACGAAGCCCAAUCAAACAAAUCAAGAUGAAGGCCCAAAUAAGGAGGCCCAAGAACGCGGUAACGCCAUCGCCCAAGUUUGCAAGUCGCCCAGAAUCUGAGCGAAUGGAAUGUCAUAC
rnacentral:lncRNA from 1 species